GGGGUUGUGGCUCAGUGGUAGAGUGCUUGUCUCGCACGAGCAAGACCCUGGGUUCGAUACUCAGCACCACA
rnacentral:tRNA from 1 species